GAUGAACGCUGGCGGCGUGCCUAAUACAUGCAAGUCGAGCGAACGGACGAGAAGCUUGCUUCUCUGAUGUUAGCGGCGGACGGGUGAGUAACACGUGGAUAACCUACCUAUAAGACUGGGAUAACUUCGGGAAACCGGAGCUAAUACCGGAUAAUAUUUUGAACCGCAUGGUUCAAAAGUGAAAGACGGUCUUGCUGUCACUUAUAGAUGGAUCCGCGCUGCAUUAGCUAGUUGGUAAGGUAACGGCUUACCAAGGCAACGAUGCAUAGCCGACCUGAGAGGGUGAUCGGCCACACUGGAACUGAGACACGGUCCAGACUCCUACGGGAGGCAGCAGUAGGGAAUCUUCCGCAAUGGGCGAAAGCCUGACGGAGCAACGCCGCGUGAGUGAUGAAGGUCUUCGGAUCGUAAAACUCUGUUAUUAGGGAAGAACAGAUGUGUAAGUAACUGUGCACAUCUUGAUGGUACCUAAUCAGAAAGCCACGGCUAACUACGUG
rnacentral:rRNA from 1 species